GACCUGCUAUAUCUGGGCUAUCUCUCAUGUUCACUUAAGUUAUGACUCUCCCUUCCCUAGCUGCUUACACUAGGAUUCCUGACAUCUUGCUUUUGCUGCUAGUCUAAUUGGCAAAGUGCAAGCACAGCUGGCUUUCCUGUUGUAGGAAGAGAGCUGAAAAACAAGACAUCUGCAAAAAGGGCCAUGAGCUCAGCUGGGACAUCCAAAAAAGCUCUGUGGGGUUGGGGCUCAAGAGAGUACUGGAGUUCCUACGUCUCUACUUAAAGGCUUAGAACAUAAGGCUGUUGCCCGGCCCCCUACUGUAACUAAAACUGCUUCUUCUAAACUUGGAGUCAUCCAGUCAGAAGCAGAGAGGACAGUAAGAAGGACCAAGAUUGCUCUGUGUAAUGGGCUGCUUGUCAUGACAGGAAGCUCAUCUUGUCAGGAUGAAUUUGGGUGUCCAAGGAGGUGAGGAACUAAUAGCCUUGAGAAGAACCAGGCUCAAGCACUAGCAGAUUCUGUGCUAGCUUGCCGCUUGGCUCUCUUUCUCCCAGUGCUGACCUGAAGCCGCUCCUGCUGAGCCCUUCUUAUGCAGCUGUUCCAGUGUACCUCAAGGAAUGCCAAUGCCGUUUUGUGCUAUUGCAGCUGUAAGCCACCUUGCAUGUAAAGCAGUGAGAGUCAAUUCUCCAGACCACUUCUGAGCAAAACACUAUGCAGAAAGAGUUGAAUAUACAACUAAAAGCUACCCAGCUCCUUUCACAUGUUGCCUUGUCAAGGUUGAAAACCAAGUCUAAAGAAGACCAUUCAUCUUGCUAGGAGAGCCCUGAAAGAGAUUGGAUUAAAAACCAGAAGAACUUUCCCCCCUGCCCCCUCCCUUUUUUUUUUUUUUUUUUUUUUUUUAAACCAGACUAUUUUGUGGUGGUGUUCAUAUACUGUCUGAACUCCUGAGUCCUUAGGGUCAACUUGAGUCUCAUUUUCAAGCUUUCCUAUUUAAGCACAGGGGAUUAAAAUGGAAGUUGAGAUUCUCAUGGGCAUCCAGGAUAUGAGGCCUUAAAACAAACAAACAAAACUAGAAUGAAUAGGCCUCUAAAUAAAAUUGCAAGAUUGUAUUUGGUGAUACUUCCCCUUUCCCCCUCCUGCCCAUCCCACAAACAUUGUUAAUGAAUAUCUCGCUGCUAUCUGAUUGUUUUGCUUCCCCCUCACAUUUUAUAUUGCUCUGCUCUGUCAAUUCAGAACUCGGUCAUCUCAUUUAUUGGACAUCCUGCUUUACAAAAUCUCCGCCAGAUCAAGAAUCCUACAAACAAGCAGGAGCUGGUCCUGUCAUAAAUGUCGACAGUCAUCCAGAAGGGACAUGCUAAAAGCAAGGAACCAUGGCUGGGACAUGGCUCCCAAGACAACACUUAACCAAUCGUUUAUCUAUGGUUCAUCUACUUGCCAUUCUUGCAAGUGACCAUGGGAUGUCAGUAGUGUUCCUCACAAAGGUUUCAAAAGAAGCUGCUCGGGGAACUAGCGAACCUCUGGAAAAUGCUAAAGAAAGCUGAUGUUAGGAGCUGAGCUACGGUGCCGGGAGGUGACUAUCUGUACCCCUGAAUUUUGCUGACAGCCUGUCAGCAGCCCAUCUGUAUGCAUUUAACUUGUUCAUACAGUUUAUUAACUUGUCCGUGUAGUUUGACCCACAAAUGUCAAAAUAUUUGCUGGGACUUGUAUUUUCAUGGGCUAUAAAUUGCUUGUGAUCGCAUUCUGUAGCAAUAAAAACCCUGUUAUACAUGUA